GACGAACGCUGGCGGCGUGUUUAACACAUGCAAGUCGAACGGAAAGGCCCUGCUUUUGUGGGGUGCUCGAGUGGCGAACGGGUGGGUAACACGUGAGUAACCUGCCCUUGACUUUGGGAUAACUUCAGGAAACUGGGGCUAAUACCGGAUAGGAGCUCCUGCUGCAUGGUGGGGGUUGGAAAGUUUCGGCGGUUGGGGAUGGACUCGCGGCUUAUCAGCUUGUUGGUGGGGUAGUGGCUUACCAAGGCUUUGACGGGUAGCCGGCCUGAGAGGGUGACCGGCCACAUUGGGACUGAGAUACGGCCCAGACUCCUACGGGAGGCAGCAGUGGGGAAUAUUGCACAAUGGGCGGAAGCCUGAUGCAGCAACGCCGCGUGCGGGAUGACGGCCUUCGGGUUGUAAACCGCUUUCGCCUGUGACGAAGCGUGAGUGACGGUAAUGGGUAAAGAAGCACCGGCUAACUACGUG
rnacentral:rRNA from 1 species